GUUGUCACGUGUCUUUGCAGUAUGUCAUUGUCAGGUGUCAUUGUCUCUGUCUGUGCCAAGUCAUAGUCACCAGUUGUCGCUCAGUUAUUUCACCAGUCCUGUCUUCUUUCUUGUUUUGGGUUUACUCAAGUGUUUCUUUGUUACUUUGUGUUUAGAUUUUGGACUUUGUUAAUUUAGCAUUUAGACUUUUUCAUGAUAUUUGUUUUCCUUUGUUUUUUGAAUUAAAUAUAAUUUUUCAUAUACGACUGCACUACUGCGUUGCCUCCCUGCUUCCCUGCACUUGGGUCCUCCAUGUUUUUGCCUUGCCUUCCUUGCCUUCGACCAAACCCCAAACGUGACAGGACCCAACGUGUUCCCCUCUGGACUGCACAGAAAAAUAUAUAGCACGCCUUUCCGGAACACCCCCGUCAGCCCCAACCUACCAUCCUCCGCCCAGCAGGACCUCUAGAACCCUAACCUGAAGUUAAGGAUGUGGAGUAAUGGACGGAGCCAAAACCGGCCUGCCGGCGUCCCACGAGCCCACUUGCGGCUAAUGACACAACAACUCAACUCACCAUCGAGUAUCGAAUCCGGAAAAACUAUUGUGUCCGUUUUAUUUAUCGAAGGAUAAGUCGAAUUGUGACAGGCCUACGACCGUGCUCCGUACUCUCAAGAGACUGGAACAUUUCGGACCUCUGUAUAACGUCAGAACACAUGGCAACUGCACGGAACAAAAUACAGACAAACCGGAACACUUUGUGUCUCUGCGACCUACACAAGCAUACGCACGCACGUACGCGCACGCACACACAGACAGACACACACACACAAGCGGUGUGCCUGGCAAGUAGCUGCGCAGCUUUGAGAGCCCAGUGUGACAACAUUUGAUAUUCAUAGAAGAGAUGAGGAAGAGAAAAAAACAGCAGGGGCGCUGCCUUACGCGUGAUAUUACAUUGUAAUUAUGAUUUGGAUGAAGGCGGCGAGGGUGCACUACAAAUUCAUCAACACACACACUCACACACACACAGUGAGAAUGAAAGGUAAUGAAGCACACUCGCUGGCAGUCGGUGGGCUCUCCAAACUUCAGAGAGCUUUUUGGAGCAGUAAUUCAAAAAACUGAGAUGAGGCGUGGCGGACCUCAGGCCGCCAUCAACACAAGGCCUUCUGAUUGGUUUGUUUACAUCAGUAUUUUCACAUGUCAAUCAGGGCACCUUUGGGAAAAUAGUUUUUUUACCACUGCAGCUAUUUGUGAGAAAGACCGCAGAACGCUGAGUAAUAAGAACAGAAGGCUACGAUUUGCACAGGCCUUUUCUUGCUUCAUGUGGCGUAUUAAAUAUGCACUUGUAGGUCACUGAGUC